rnacentral:tRNA from 1 species
GCGGAAGUGGCGAAAUUGGUAGACGCACCAGAUUUAGGUUCUGGCGCUGCGAGGUGUGAGAGUUCGAGUCUCUCCUUCCGCACCA